UUCAUUCAGUAAAAUUUCAUAGCUGCAGCCGCAUGGUUGUGCCGCUCUCGCCUGCUCUUGCUUUUCGCGCAACAAACCGAAACGAGAAACACAUAAAUAUAAAAGUGUGAACAUUGGCGUACAUAUAAAAACUUAAAACUUAACUUAACUUGAGCAACAUGAAACAAAUAAACACGGGAAAGCGGUUCCAGCGAAGAGGUUCCAAGGAGAGCAGACACAACCGCAUUCCAGAAAGUUUAAAUAACGCUGGAAGGAGGGGGAAAGUGGAAAACUAAACUCGAACUCGAACUCAGUGUGCCAGUGUAUGUGUGUGGAAUGCAGAAGAGGAAGAAGCAGCAGCAGCAGAAUAAGCAGCGAAUAGAAAAUAUGUCUUCAAACUGGUUUUUCGGUUUUUAGACUGUCGUCGUCGGCCAAUCGGGUUCCAUUGACAUCCGAACGAAAAAAAUAAUGCCUAACCUUCGAUGGGAACACUCGUAAGUCGGAAUUCACACACAGCAUGCACACACAACGCCGUUUAUUGGCUGAAAUUGGAUGCUGUGUGUAUGUGCGGUUAUUUAGAAAUUCAAAUUGAAAUUUUUCAAGCGUGAGUCAUGCGACUGAGCGUGGGUUUUUGAGACCCGUUUCAUUCUUCCCGACUCGACGAUCCUAACCUUCACUGAGAACAGGAGUUAGCCGCCAGAACGUGAAUGGGAACAGAAUCGGGAACGGGAACAGUCAUAAAAGUUGCAUCACUCAGCACAAAAAGACGAAGAGGCGGGCAGACGGAGACACAAACAAGUCAACCACCAGCAUAGAAUGCGGCUGCCAGACAGGCGAGACGGCAAUAGUAGUGGCGGCAAGAAAAGGCGCGACAAGCAGAAGAACCGUUUUACUGAGAAAAGAAGACCGGGCACGCGGCGUCAGGGUGCGAGCGGGAUGGCAGAACAGGCAAAGGGAAAAGGGAGCGAAAAACACUGAGAGAAAUAAGAGUAAGGUGAACAUGAAAAUUAAAAUCUUACUGAACUCGUAUAUUCUUUGCAGCAAUACUGUGGUUAAACGACAGUCAAUUAAAAAUUUGUUUGUGCAUCGUAAGAAAAUGUACCACAUUGAAUAUCUAAGUUUAGAAUGUUGAGAGUCGUUUUUCCUUAGCCUCAAAACUUCGUAAUUCAAGCGAUAUUAAACGUAAUAUUUUUUCACAGUGUCAUCGGUCGUUCUCUUCGCUCAGACUUAUCCCGUUUGUUUUGCAGUUCCUCGUCUGCAUUCCGUUGUUUCGUCCGAAAACCAAAUUCAGCAGAAAAAAGGCCCUUCAACGGGAAUAUCGAUAUGAUAUCGAUGGGAGAACCGAUUUUUCGGGACCAUUAAUUUGCAUAUGCGAAAAUCGAAGGAGUUACAGAAAAGGGCAGCAAGCGGUGCGUUUUAAUACCACAACAUAAAUGUCAAUUAAAAACGAUAUUUGUAUUGUCAAGUUGCGCCCGUCGCAUCGCCAUAAAUGUGUUAUAAAAAAGCUAACGGUUAAUGCUACGGUCUGCUGAAGUUCAUGUGUGGAAGAGUGAAAAAAAUGAGAAAAGAGGGAAAGAAACAAAAACUAUUCGCCGCUCAAUAGAAAGUUUGUGUUAAUAAAAAAUACCUAAAAACUUAAACACACAAAAUAUGUGUGUCGAAAUAUGUAUGGCAGCAACAAAAAAGAGUGAAUGAAAAAAUGUUGACCUAAUUUUCGGGGCCCAGUUGGGGUUGUUGUUUUUGGUCUUGUUUAUUUCAGCAACGUCGACGGUGGCAGAGGCGGCGCAUACUUUCCCACACAGCUUCCAGCUCAUUCCCAUUCCAGAUUCCAGGCCAUUCCCAGCAGCGUGCGAUCAUCGCGGGAGCAGCGCCACCGUUCCCUUCGCACGCUUUCCUCUCCGUCCCGCUGGAACGACGUCUAAAUUAAUGAUUGUUAAAUGGAGAUUGUGUAUUUUAUGUUAGUGUGUAUGUGCUAGGCACUCCACAUACCAAUGCAAUUGGAGAAAUACGGGCGCGCCUGCGCAGAAACUAUUUAUAAAGGUAUGUAAUCCCCAAUUUGAUAACUCACAGGCAUUUUACAGUUCAUGUCCCCCACCCAAAAAAAAAAAAGCAAAAACUCAGCGCCACUAAUUGUGUGCUAUUUUUAUGAAACAAAACAAAAAAAAAACGAAAAGAAAAGAAGGAAAGAAUGAAAGACUAAAACCUUAAGAUCAUUUUUUUUUUCUCGCGGCGCGUGUGAAAAUAUUUAGGCUAGCCAAGGUAUUUUUAUUCUCGCCUCUUGUGGAUCUUUUGAGUCUCUCGUUCUUCGCUUCUCUGUGGUCUUUCUUGCUUUUUAAAGUGUUAACUGGCAGCAUAUAAUUUCGGUCGACUUGACAUACAUUAUAAUUAUAGUUAUUAAAUGUGAGCCAGGCACGUGCGUGAAAAACGCUCAGAUGCAGAUGUUGUUGAUGUUAUAAAGACCACGAUCGAAAGAGGAAAAACGGAAAACGAACGAAAAGCGUUUGUAACUCCAAUGAUUUGACUACGAAACCGGUUUUCGAUUUGGUUUGACUGUUUUUCAUACAAGUGAGAUCAUUUUGAAAGCUGAUUUUGUCAAUGAAUACCACAUUCCACAUUCCGAUGGUCGAUUUUUGUUGUUUG
ensembl:ncRNA lncRNA:CR43334 long non-coding RNA:CR43334